CCUACGGGAGGCAGCAGUGGGGAAUAUUGCACAAUGGGGGGAACCCUGAUGCAGCGACGCCGCGUGAGUGAAGAAGGAUUUCGGGAUGUAAAGCUCUAUCAGCAGGGAAGAAAAUGACGGGACCUGAAAAAGAAGCCACGGCGAACUCCGUGCCAGCAGCCUCGGGAAUACGUAGGGGGAAAGCGUGAGGCGGAUUUACUGGGGGAACAGGGAGCGGAGACGGCUGGGCCCGUCUGGAGUGAAAGGCGGGGGCCCAACCCCCGGACUGCUCUGGACACUGUAAAGCUGGAGUGCAGGAGAGGUAAGCGGCAUUCCUCGUGUAGCGGUGCACUGCUUCGAUAUUAGGCG
rnacentral:rRNA from 1 species